GAUGAACGCUGGCGGCGUGCCUAAUACAUGCAAGUCGAGCGAACGGACCCGAAUCUUGUUUCUUUGAUGUUAGCGGCGCACGGGUGUGUAACACGUGGAUACCCUCCUUAUAAGACUGGGAUCACUUCGGGAAACCGGAGAUAAUCCGGGAUGAGCUUUUGAUCCGCAUGGUUGAUAAGUGAAAGUCGGUGUUGCUGUCACUUAUAGAUGGAUCCGCGCUGCAUUAGCUGGUUGGUAGGGUAACGGCUUACCAAGGCAAGGAUGCAUAGCCGACCUGAGGGGGGGAUCGGCGACACGGGAGCGGAGACACGGUCCAUAGUCCUGCGGGAGGCAGCAGUAGGGAACCGGCCGCAGUGGGCGAGAGCCUUACAGAGCGGCGCCGAGUGAGAGGUGAAGGUCUUGGGUUCGUAAAACUCGGUUAUUAGGGAAGAACAUAUGUGUAAGUAACUGUGCACAUCUUGACGGUACCUGAUCAGAAAGCCACGGCUAACUACGUG
rnacentral:rRNA from 1 species